ensembl:snRNA U6 U6 spliceosomal RNA
GUGUUUGCUUGGACAGCACAUAUUCUAAAAUUGGAAAGAUACAGAGAAGACUAGCAUGGCUCCCGCACAAGGAUGACACGAAACUUCGUGACGCGUUCCAUAUUUUU